CUACGGGCGGCAGCAGUGGGGAAUAUUGCACAAUGGGCGCAAGCCUGAUGCAGCAACGCCGCGUGAACGAAGAAGGUCUUCGGAUCGUAAAGUUCUUUUCUUAGGGAAGAAAAAUGACGGUACCUAAGGAAUAAGCACCGGCUAAAUACGUGCCAGCAGCCGCGGUAAUACGUAUGGUGCAAGCGUUAUCCGGAAUCACUGGGCGUAAAGGGAGCGUAGGCGGUUUUGCAAGUCAGAAGUGAAAGGCUACGGCUCAACCGUGGUAAGCUUUUGAAACUGCAAGACUAGAGUGCAGGAGAGGCAAGUGGAAUACCUAGUGUAGAGGUGAAAUUCGUAGAUAUUAGGAGGAACACCAGUGGCGAAGGCGACUUGCUGGACUGUAACUGACGCUGAGGCUCGAAAGCGUGGGGAGCGAACAGGAUUAGAUACCCGCGUAGUC
rnacentral:rRNA from 1 species